rnacentral:rRNA from 1 species
GGGCGAAGCCUGAUCAGCCAUGCCGCGUGUGUGAAGAAGGUCUUCGGAUUGUAAAGCACUUUUGGUUGGGAGGAAGGGGAUUAACCUAAUACGUUGGUGUUUUGACGUUACCGACAGAAUAAGCACCGGCUAACUCUGUGCCAGCGCCCGCGGUAUAAA